ACCUCUUGAGAGCGGCGGACGGGUGAGUAAUGCCUAGGAAUCUGCCUGGUAGUGGGGGAUAACGCUCGGAAACGGACGCUAAUACCGCAUACGUCCUACGGGAGAAAGCAGGGGACCUUCGGGCCUUGCGCUAUCAGAUGAGCCUAGGUCGGAUUAGCUAGUUGGUGGGGUAAUGGCUCACCAAGGCGACGAUCCGUAACUGGUCUGAGAGGAUGAUCAGUCACACUGGAACUGAGACACGGUCCAGACUCCUACGGGAGGCAGCAGUGGGGAAUAUUGGACAAUGGGCGAAAGCCUGAUCCAGCCAUGCCGCGUGUGUGAAGAAGGUCUUCGGAUUGUAAAGCACUUUAAGUUGGGAGGAAGGGCAUUAACCUAAUACGUUAGUGUUUUGACGUUACCGACAGAAUAAGCACCGGCUAACUCUGUGCCAGCAGCCGCGGUAAUACAGAGGGUGCAAGCGUUAAUCGGAAUUACUGGGCGUAAAGCGCGCGUAGGUGGUUCGUUAAGUUGGAUGUGAAAGCCCCGGGCUCAACCUGGGAACUGCAUUCAAAACUGUCGAGCUAGAGUAUGGUAGAGGGUGGUGGAAUUUCCUGUGUAGCGGUGAAAUGCGUAGAUAUAGGAAGGAACACCAGUGGCGAAGGCGACCACCUGGACUGAUACUGACACUGAGGUGCGAAAGCGUGGGGAGCAAACAGGAUUAGAUACCCUGGUAGUCCACGCCGUAAACGAUGUCAACUAGCCGUUGGGAGCCUUGAGCUCUUAGUGGCGCAGCUAACGCAUUAAGUUGACCGCCUGGGGAG
rnacentral:rRNA from 1 species